rnacentral:rRNA from 1 species
AGUGAACGCUGGCGGUAGGCCUAACACAUGCAAGUCGAACGGCAGCACAGUAAGAGCUUGCUCUUACGGGUGGCGAGUGGCGGACGGGUGCGGAAUACAUCGCAAUCUACUUUUUCGUGGGGGCUAACGCAGGGGCACUUACCCUAUUCCCGCAUACGACGUACGGGUGAAAGCAGCGGACCUUCCGACCUCACGCGAUUCUAUGAGGCGAUGUCGGAUUAGCUAGUUGGCGGGGUAAAGGCCCACCAAGGCGACGAUCCGUAGCUGGUCUGAGAGGAUGAUCAGCCACACUGGAACUGAGACACGGUCCAGACUCCUACGGGAGGCAGCAGUGGGGAAUAUUGGACAAUGGGCGCAAGCCUGAUCCAGCCAUACCGCGUGGGUGAAGAAGGCCUUCGGGUUGUAAAGCCCUUUUGUUGGGAAAGAAGAGCAGCAGGUUAAUACCCCGCUGUUCUGACGGUACCCAAAGAAUAAGCACCGGCUAACUUCGUG